rnacentral:rRNA from 1 species
AGUAAUGCGUGACCAACCUCGCCCCAUGCUCCAGAAUAGCUCUUGGAAACGGGUGGUAAUGCUGGAUGCUCCAACUUGACGCAUGUCUUGUUGGGAAAGUGUUUAGUGGCAUGGGAUGGGGUCGCGUCCUAUCAGCUUGUAGGCGGGGUAAUGGCCCACCUAGGCUUCGACGGGUAGCCGGCCUGAGAGGGCGGACGGCCACAUUGGGACUGAGAUACGGCCCAGACUCCUACGGGAGGCAGCAGCA